CACUAGCACUGGGCUGAGAACGUUCCACAUCUGCUACCUGAAGACUCCUGAGGUUAUAAACAACACAAUGGACUGGAAGCUGGUGCUGACUGUUUUGUGUCUGACUGCAGUGACCAACACCUCUACAACCAACACCUCUACAACCACCAGCGCACCUACAACCAUCUCUACAAAAAACACAACUACAGCAAACACAACUACAGCAAGCACACCUACAGCAAGCACAACUACAGCACGCACACCUACAGCAAGCACUA